CCUACUGGGGGCAUCAUUGAGGCAUCUUGGUCAAUGGGCUUACGCCUGAACCAGCCAAGUCGCGUGAGGGAAUACUGCCCUAUGGGUUGUACACCUCUUUUUUCCUUUCUCCCCGCCGGCUACGUGUAGCCGGACUGAGAGUACCUGAAGAAAAAGCAUCGGCUAACUCCGUGCCAGCAGCCGCGGUAAUACGGAGGAUGCGAGCGUUAUCCGGAUUCAUUGGGUUUAAAGGGUGCGUAGGCGGAAUGCCAAGUCAGCGGUAAAAUCGCGGGGCUCAACCUCGCUCCGCCGUUGAAACUGGCGGUCUUGAGUGGGCGAGAGGUAUGCGGAAUGCGUGGUGUAGCGGUGAAAUGCAUAGAUAUCACGCAGAACUCCGAUUGCGAAGGCAGCAUACCGGCGCCCAACUGACGCUGAAGCACGAAGGCGUGGGUAUCGAACAGGAUUAGAUACCCUAGUAGUC
rnacentral:rRNA from 1 species